rnacentral:lncRNA from 1 species
CCUUUUAGAAGAGAUGUUCUUUCUUUUUCAAGGAACGCCUGUCGAAAUGCAUCAAAUGCCUAGUCAGCAACUAGUGAUCCUGUAUGUGCUUCUUGGGAUUCUCCAAAUACUCCAUCAGUGUAUCCUCUCCCCAGGUGAUGCCUUUGUUCUUACUGGCAACCGUGUAAGAGUAUCCAGCGGCCUGACCUGUCUUCCGCCCGAAGAGGCCUUGGAGAUUUGGCCCAGUCUUGUGCUUGCCUCCCUUUUCAACGGUGUGGCACUGGGAACACUUCAUAAUAAAAAUCUUCUUGCCUUUCUCAACAUCACCCAUAUUUAAUUCUCCUUUUAGUCGCUGGCGCAGCGAAGAUUCC